GACAGCAGCCAUAUCACCCUGUAGCUCACAACUGGCAACCCACUGAAGCUCAGCAGGUGUGAGCCUGGUCAGUACCUGGAUGGGAGACCUCCUGAGAAAAACUAAGAUUGCUGCUGGAA
ensembl:rRNA 5S_rRNA 5S ribosomal RNA